GACGAACGCUGGCGGCGUGCUUAACACAUGCCAGUCGAACGGAAAGGCCCUGCUUUUGUGGGGUGCUCGAGUGGCGAACGGGUGAGUAACACGUGAGUAACCUGCCCUUGACUUUGGGAUAACUUCAGGAAACUGGGGCUAAUACCGGAUAGGAGCUCCUGCUGCAUGGUGGGGGUUGGAAAGUUUCGGCGGUUGGGGAUGGACUCGCGGCUUAUCAGCUUGUUGGUGGGGUAGUGGCUUACCAAGGCUUUGACGGGUAGCCGGCCUGAGAGGGUGACCGGCCACAUGGGGACUGAGAUACGGCCCAGACUCGUACGGGAGGCAGCAGUGGGGAAUAUGGCAGAAUGGGCGGAAGCCUGAUGCAGCAACGCCGCGUGCGGGAUGACGGCCUUCGGGUUGUAAACCGCUUUCGCCUGUGACGAAGCGUGAGUGACGGUAAUGGGUAAAGAAGCACCGGCUAACUACGUG
rnacentral:rRNA from 1 species